ACUCAAAUGAAUAGACGGGGGCCCGCACAAGCGGUGGAGCAUGUGGUUUAAUUCGACGCAACGCGAAGAACCUUACCUGGGCUUGACAUCCUGUGAUCAUCUAAGAGAUUAGGUUUCCGAGCAAUCGGACACAGAGACAGGUGCUGCAUGGCUGUCGUCAGCUCGUGCCGUGAGGUGUUGGGUUAAGUCCCGCAACGAGCGCAACCCUUGUCGUGUGUUGGUCCACAAGAUCUCUCACACGAGACCGCCGGUGACAAGCCGGAGGAAGGUGGGGAUGACGUCAAGUCAGCAUGGCCCUUACGUCCAGGGCUACACACGUGCUACAAUGCGCCGGACAGCGAGUCGCGAACCCGCGAGGGCAAGCUAAUCUCUUAAACCGGCGCUCAGUUCGGAUUGAAGGCUGCAACUCGCCUUCAUGAAGUCGGAAUCGCUAGUAACCGCAGAUCAGCUACGCUGCGGUGAAUACGUUCCCGGGCCUUGCACACACCGCCCGU
rnacentral:rRNA from 1 species